UACGGAGGAUGCAAGCGUUAUCCGGAAUCACUGGGCGUAAAGCGUCUGUAGGUUGCUUAGAAAGUCUGCUGUUAAAUCUUAGGGCUCAACCCUAAACAAGCAGUGGAAACUUCUAGGCUAGAGUGUGGUAAGGGUAGAGGGAAUUCCCAGUGUAGCGGUGAAAUGCGUAGAUAUUGGGAAGAACACCAGAGGCGAAAGCGCUCUGCUGGGCCACUACUGACACUCAGAGACGAAAGCUAGGGGAGCAAAUGGG
rnacentral:rRNA from 1 species